AGAAAAGGUAGCAUUGUAGAAAAUGGGUAGUUAGUUGAUGAUCAUUUAGGAAAACGUAUAUCAGUGAUAAUAUAAUCUUGACAGGAAACCAUAACAGGAAUUGAUCGAAUUAUACAAUAUAUACAGCCACAUAAGACAAUUUUAUGAAGAACUGAAAGACUAUUACGGAGAUGGAGUAUACUCUUUUACUGUUUGUUGUGGCAAAAAUUUAUUCUGUUGAAAGCGGUUUACCACCUGAUAUAUUCCUUAAAGGAAAGUCCUUCACCAACAAUAAUGCAACAGUGUUUCAAUUUAUUUGCUCAACCAACAUCGCCGUUUGGCCGUGUUCCGUAGAGUUUCUAAUAGAGAACAGGACACAUAAUGAUAUUCGAUAUGUUGAUGACACGUGUUACCAUACAUAUGGGAUAUGCACUCCAAAUAUGUGCGCAUGUUCUGAUAGCUGCAAAUCAUUCACCUGGAAUGUUACAGUAGUAGAAGAAAUGAAGAACCGUUCAUAUAGUUGUGUUACUAGAAUGGUUACAGGGGAAGUAAAGUUUUUAGCAAAUAUAACUGUCAAAUGGGACGGCAAGGAUGGAUUUCAAACCUUUAAGAAGAUUGUUGUUCCUACCAAUAUUGUGAUUCAACAGUCAACUACUCCAAAAUCAGAGUCUGUUCAAUUAAUCAUCAUAUCAACUACAGUUGGAUCAGUAACAUGCAUGUUUACAUUAAUUGUGUUGUCUUUAACUUGCCGGAAGAUAUGCCGUUCGAAGCGACACGAAG